rnacentral:rRNA from 1 species
UACGUAGGUGACAAGCGUUGUCCGGAUUUACUGGGCGUAAAGGGCGCGUAGGCGGUCAGCACAAGUCAGUUGUGAAAUCUCCGGGCUUAACUCGGAAAGGUCAACUGAUACUGUGCGACUAGAGUGCGGAAGGGGCAACUGGAAUUCUCGGUGUAGCGGUGAAAUGCGUAGAUAUCGAGAGGAACACCUGCGGCGAAGGCGGGUUGCUGGGCCGACACUGACGCUGAUGCGCGAAAGCCAGGGGAGCGAACGGG